ensembl:lncRNA
AUGCUUAUUAUAGCUGCAGAACCUGCAGGUACACAUCUAUUUUCCUAUCUGCAUUGUGUCAUGCUGCACUGGCAUUUUCAGCUUUCCUUAACUGGGAACACAACCCCUCAUCUGGGAUCCCUUAUCAUGUGGCCAAGUGGAAGCGGGGUCCUGCUGUCAGUGGGAUCAUAUUGUGAAUUGUGGAUUUCUCAAGGAGCAGAACAGACCCCUUUGCCAGGAAGCAGAGGUAAUCUCAGGGUAAAAUCAAGACCUAUGUUCUAAGCAUGGUGCGGGCUGCUGCCACCUUGAAAACAAAUACCAUGGAAUGCACUGAAUGAGUGUUAAAAACCAGUUCUACCUCUACCAAACUUUUAAAUGCGCCCUUAUCCUCAAGUGAACGAAAGCUUGGCCUCUGAAGCAGAGCGGUUAAUCCGCCCCAUUCAGAAGCCAUGUCAGUCUCAUAGUUUAUUUGUGCUGCUCAGUGUUGUGUGGCGACACCAGCGACUGUCUGUAACAUUGUUUGGCCUUCAACAUUCUUCACCUGGGCAGGAGGUGUGGAACCACACAUGAUCUCAUGCUUCUCUCAACAUUCAGAGCGUGCUUAUACCUUACCUACUUAGCUGAACAUUUCAUAUUUGUGAUCAAUUCUGGCCCACAAAGCCUUCUGCCAUGAUAAAAUGGUUCCAUCUUUUAAGGGUGUGUGUGUGAGAGAGAACAUCUCUGCAGUCCAACUAGAUCAGGGGUUAGCAAACAUUUUUAGCAGGGGACCGGUCCACUGUCCCUCAAACCUUGUGGGGGGCUGGACUAUAUUUUGAAGGGGGGGAAUGAACGAAUUCCUAUGCCUCACAAAUAACCCAGAGAUGCAUUUUAAAUAAAAGGACACAUUCUACUCAUGUAAAAAUAUGCUGAUUCCUGGACCAUCCAUGGGCCGGAUUUAGAAGGUGAUUGGGCCGGAUCUGACCCCUGGGCCUUAGUUUACAUACCCAUGAGCUAGAUAAUACACACAUUACCACGGGGUAUGGAAGAUGUCACCUACUACUGCAAUACAUUAAAAACAAGGCAACUGAGUUUCUAAAAGGGAGUAUCCUUUGGUCCCCGUCCCCCCCGCCGGUGGUACCUACCUGAAAUCUAACUAUCCAAGAUAAAAGUAACUUGAAGAGUGUUUAGGGCAAGUUUGUAUAUUACAUUAUCCACUGGAGUGACACUGGUUUCCUGAGAAAUGUAUUUCGUGACAUAUACCAUUUCCUCCCUUGUGACUGCCUCCUUUUAAAAAUAUGAUCGGUAAUGCAAUAGCUUCGUUUUCAGACUGAAUGUCAGGCGUACAGACCUUUUGUGUUAGCAUCUGUCAGAACUCUUCCACAACUGCAAUCUCUCCUCAUGCUCCCUUCCAAUAUAGAUUACUUACUGCACCAAACCAGAAACAGCUGCCCAUUUAAUCAGGCAAACGAAUGGGAAUCACCAGGGGGUGCCUUCUAGACCUGAUGCCAUCGCCUUCUAUUGAGAAUGUCCACCAAAUGUGAUCAGCCAAUACGACGAGCCCAUGGAAAUAUGACCCACCUUCACUGUCGGAUUCUCCAAACACAAAUGUGUGGAAUAAAAGAUGCACUUACUGAUGACCUACAAGACCUGAAAAAUAAGUGGGGGGGGGGGGAGGCUAGUGACUUGAAUACAGUGGUACCUCAGGUUACAGAUGCUUCAGGUUACAGACUCCGCUAACCCAGAAAUAUUACCUCGGGUUAAGAACUUUGCUUCAGGAUGAGAACAGAAAUCGCAUGGCGGCAGUCGGAGGCCCCACUAGCUAAAGUGGUGCUUCAGGUUAAAAACAGUUUCAGGUUAAGAACGGACCUCCAGAACGAAUUAAGUUCUUAACCUGAGGUACCACUGUACAUACUUCUGCUUCUGUUCACAUCAGCAUUUCAAAACCGAAGUACAGUGGAACCUCGUGUUAUGUACUGUCCUCCUUGCGAACGCUGCAGGUUACGAGCUCCGCUAACCCGUAAGUAGAUGCCCCUUGUUGCAAACUCUGCCCCGGGAUGCGAGCGGAAGUCGCGUGCCGGCAGCACGGCAGCAGCAGGAGGCGCUGUUAGUGGAAGCGCGCUUCAUGUUACGAGUGGUUUCAGGUUACAAACGGACCUCCAGAACUGAUUAAGUUCGUAACUGGAGGUACCACUGUAUACAUUCCACCCAAAAUGUAUUCUUGAUCUUCUACUGUGUGUACUGAACUUUAGCCUUUCUUUACCGAAGGCCUAUUUCUUAAGUCUAAAUAAUACAGAACCAUAGAGUUGGAAGGGACCCUAAGGACCAUCUAGUCCAGGGGUGCCCAAGCCUUUUUCAAAGAGGGCCAGAUUUGAUGAAGUGAACAUGCGUGAGAGCCAAUCAAAAUUGUUGACCUUUUUUAAGGACUGAAGUUGUUGAGCUUUUUUCUUUUUUCACAAUUUUACCCCAAAGUUGUUGAGCUUUGGGAUAGAAGCUGCAACCUUGGUGUUAUCAGCACUACCCCUCUAACCAACUCAGCUAUCCAGGUCCUCACUGGACCCUAAAAGAAACAAUAAUGCACAGAAUUAAAAUAGCACCAUGUCUGUUUAUAGCAACAAAAUGCACAGAUGAGAAAAACUGGCUAUAGACACAUUACAUGAGAGGCACACAUUGGCUUAUGCACACAAAAUAAUUCUGUAUGUUUCCAACUGCAAAUUUCUCAGGAGGGGAGAAGAGAGAAAUGAGUAGACAUUUUCCCCAUUUUCAGAAAUACAUACUGAUAGAAACUCCAUAUGCAAUUAAACAUUUAGUGAUAUGAGGACAUGAGUUGGUGUGGAACUCUAAAAUAUCCUGCAUAAGAUGAUUCCACCUCUAGUUUGAAGAUGGACAUAGGAUGACGGAGGCUAUAAGGAACAGAAUUUGUGCCUUUCAUGCUCAGUGUCUUACUACCUGAUUGGAAUAACUGUGGCCACGGGUUUAUUUAUUUCUGGACAAAUUAGCUGGUGACAGGGCCAUUUCGGGUGGGGGGUGGGAGAGAAAAUAAACGGGUGCUUGAGAUGAAGUCACUUUAAUAACUUGAUCGCACAGCUUGAUUGUUCGAACGUGUUUUGUGAUAUUUUAGGGACAAUAGUUACACAACCACGAUUUUAACUGUUGCUAAUUUGCUGCGUUUCGUUAACAGAGGCUCAGCUUUUCUUUGUUUCCAUUCCUCCCAGGGCAUUCGGCUUUUCACACACGUUCGUCAGCCGUUUUACUCCUCCACAAAUACA